GGGCUAGCGUUGCUCGGAAUUACUGGGCGUAAAGGGCGCGUAGGCGGGUCGGUGAGUUAGUGGUGAAAGCCCAGGGCUCAACCCUGGAAUUGCCUUUAAUACUGGCGGCCUUGAGUAUGGCAGAGGUGUGUGGAACUCCGAGUGUAGAGGUGAAAUUCAUAGAUAUUCGGAAGAACACCAGUGGCGAAGGCGACACACUGGGCCAUUACUGACGCUGAGGCGCGAAAGCGUGGGGAGCAAACAGG
rnacentral:rRNA from 1 species